rnacentral:rRNA from 1 species
UGGGCGUAAAGCGUUUGUAGGCGGGCGAGUGUGUUUAAUGUUAAAUCUUAAAGCUCAACUUUGAAAUUGCGUUAAAAACUGCUUGUCUUGAGUAUGGUAGGGGUAAAGGGAAUUCCCAGUGUAGCGGUGAAAUGCGUAGAUAUUGGGAAGAACACUAAACAGCGAAGGCACUUUACUAGGCUAAUACUGACGCUGAGAAACGAAAGGUAAGGUAGCGAAACGGAUUAGAUACCCGUGUAGUCUUACCCGUAAACUAUGGACACUAAACGGUAAAUUUUUAAUUUACUGUUAAAGCUAACGCGUUAAGUGUCCCGCCUGGGGAGUAUGCUUGCAAAAGUGAAACUCAAAGGAAUUGACGGGGGCCCGCACAAGCGGUGGAGCAUGUGGUUUAAUUCGACGGUACACGAAGAACCUUACCAGGAUUUGACAUGCUAGAUAGUUGCUUGAAAGAGUAACGUGCCGUAAGGAAUCUAGACACAGGUGGUGCAUGGCUGUCGUCAGUUCGUGUUGUGAAAUGUUGGGUUAAGUCCCGCAACGAACGCAACCCUUGUCUUUAGUUAUUUUCUAAAGAGACUGCCUGUAAUAAACAGGAGGAAGGUAAGGAUGAGGUCAAGUCAUCAUGCCCCUUAUGUCCUGGGCUACACACGUGCUACAAUGGGAAAGACAAUGAGCUGCAAAUCUGUAAAUUUAAGCAAAUCUCUUAAACUUUCUCGUAGUUCGGAUUGUGGGCUGCAACUCGCCCACAUGAAGUUGGAAUCGCUAGUAAUCGCCAGUCAGCUAUAUGGCGGUGAAUCCGUUCCCGGGGCU